GAUGUUAUGUGUGAUCAACAAAAACUUGUGCUUCUCAUCCAAUCUUUGUCGAACUAUGUUGAUGUGUGAUUAUGCACUUGUUGGGCCCUUUUAUUGUACACCUGCACUUGUAGAACUAUUUUGUUAUGCACUUGUUGGGCCUUGAACCUUUAUGUGUAGAGGAGUCGAUGAAUGAUGUAUUAUAAUUCAUGUGAUGUGCUACUGAAAUGAAAUAUAUACAACUAAUUUG
rnacentral:lncRNA from 1 species